UGACAAGCUACUAAGUGCGAUCGGUGGAUGCCUUGGCACCAAGAGCCGAUGAAGGACGUUGUAACCUGCGAUAAGCCUUGGGGAGUUGGUAAACGAGCUGUGAUCCGGGGAUGUCCGAAUGGGGAAACCUUGAAUGUCCGGAGUCAUGUCCGGUGACCCUGCCCUGAAUGUAUAGGGGUGUGGGAGGUAACGCGGGGAAGUGAAACAUCUCAGUACCCGUAGGAAGAGAAAACAAUUGUGAUUCCGUGAGUAGUGGCGAGCGAAAGCGGAUGUGGCCAAACCGUGUGUGUGUUCAAGCCGGCAGGCGUUGCAUGUGCGGGGUUGUGGGGGCCUGUGUGAUCCUGCUGCCGUGGGAUCGGCUUGCAUGUGGUGUGAAGUUGAAUCGUCUGGGAAGGCGGACCGUAGUGGGUGAGAGUCCCGUAGACGUGAGUGUCAUGUGUGGUUUCAGGUUGCCCCAAGUAGCGCGGUACUCGUGGAAUGUCGCGUGAAUCUGGCGGGACCACCCGUUAAGCCUAAAUACUUCUUGGUGACCGAUAGUGUAUCAGUACCGUGAGGGAAUGGUGAAAAGUACCCCGGGAGGGGAGUGAAAUAGUACCUGAAACCGGUCGCAUACAAGCCGUCGGAGCCUUUUUGGGGUGACGGCGUGCCUAUUGAAAAAUGAGCCUGCGAGUUAGUGGUAUGUGGCGAGGUUAACCUGUGUGGGGUAGUCGUAGCGAAAGCGAGUCCGAUAAGGGCGUCAGUCGCAUGCUCUAGACCCGAAGCGGUGUGAUCUAUCCAUGGCCAGGAUGAAGCGUCGGUAAGACGUCGUGGAGGUCCGAACCCACUUCAGUUGAAAAUGGAGGGGAUGAGCUGUGGAUAGGGGUGAAAGGCCAAUCAAACACCGUGAUAGCUGGUUCUCCCCGAAAUGCAUUUAGGUGCAGCGUUGUGUGGUUCGUGUCGGAGGUAGAGCACUGGAUGGUCUAGGGGGCCUAUCAGCUUACCGAAACCAGCCAAACUCCGAAUGCCGGCACGUGGAGCGCAGCAGUGAGACGGCGGGGGAUAAGCUUCGUCGUCGAGAGGGAAACAGCCCAGAUCAUCAGCUAAGGCCCCUAAGUGAUAGCUAAGUGGAAAAGGAUGUGGAGUUGCGUAGACAACCAGGAGGUUGGCUUGGAAGCAGCCAUCCUUGAAAGAGUGCGUAAUAGCUCACUGGUCAAGUGAUUCCGCGCCG
rnacentral:rRNA from 1 species